rnacentral:tRNA from 1 species
GUUUGAGUGGCAGACCGGUAAUUGCAA